UGAGUACGAGACGCUAAGGCGUCGAAGUAGUGGAUGUCAUACUUCCAAGAAAAGCUUGCACUGUCAUAAAUAAAAGAUGCCUGUACCAUAACCGACACAGGUGGGUAAGUAGAGUAUACUAAGGGGCGCGAGAUAACUCUCUCUAAGGAACUCGGCAAAAUAACUCCGUAACUUCGGGAGAAGGAGUGCCUUAUUCUUAAGGUUGCAAUAACAAGAUCCAAGCAACUGUUUAUCAAAAACACAGGUCUCCGCUAAGUCGUAAGACGAUGUAUGGGGGCUGACGCCUGCCCAGUGCCAGAAGGUUAAAGAAGUCGGUUAGCAAUAGCAAAGCUGGUAACUGAAGCCCUGGUGAACGGCGGCCGUAACUAUAACGGUCCUAAGGUAGCGAAAUUCCUUGUCGGGUAAGUUCCGACCCGCACGAAAGGCGUAAUGAUUUGGAUGCUGUCUCGGAGAGGGGCUCGGUGAAAUAGACUUGUCUGUGAAGAUGCGGACUACCUGCACCAGGACAGAAAGACCCUAUGAAGCUUUACUGUAACUUGAAAUUGAAAUUGGACUUUAUUCGCGCAGUAUAGGUGGGAGGCGUUGAUUAUAAUCUUGUGGGAUUAUUGGAGCCAUCAGUGAGAUACCACUCUUGUAAUGUUAGAUUUCUAACUUUGAAUCAUUAUCUGGUCAAAGGACAGUUUCAGGCGGGCAGUUUGACUGGGGCGGUCGCCUCCUAAACGGUAACGGAGGCGUACAAAGGUUUCCUCUGAACGGUUAGAAAUCGUAUCUAGAGUGUAAAGGCAUAAGGAAGCUUGACUGUGAGACCUACAAGUCGAGCAGGGACGAAAGUCGGUCUUAGUGAUCUGACGGUACUGAGUGGAAAGGCCGUCACUCAACGGAUAAAAGUUACUCUAGGAUAACAGGCUGAUCUCCCCCAAGAGUUCACAUCGACGGGGAGGUUUGGCACCUCGAUGUCGGCUCAUCGCAUCCUGGGGCGGUAGUACGUCCCAAGGGUUGGGCUGUUCGCCCAUGAAAGCGGUACGCGAGCUGGGUUCAGAACGUCGUGAGACAGUUCGGUCCAUAUCCGGUGUAGGCGCUAGAAUAUUGAGAGGAGCCAUCUUUAGUACGAGAGGACCGAGAAGGACAUACCUCUGGUGUACCAGUUAUCGUGCCAACGGUAAACGCUGGGUAGCUAUGUAUGGAGUGGAUAACCGCUGAAAGCAUCUAAGUGGGAAGCCCACCUCAAGAUAAGUAUUCUCAUCACGUAAGUGAGUAAGGUCACGGUAAGACUAACCGUUUGAUAGGCAUUAAGUGUAAGUACAGUAAUGUAUGUGCUGAGAUGUCCUAAUAGACCGAGGACUUG
rnacentral:rRNA from 1 species